CCUACGGGUGGCAGCAGUGGGGAAUAUUGGACAAUGGGCGAAAGCCUGAUCCAGCCAUGCCGCGUGUGUGAAGAAGGCCUUCGGGUUGUAAAGCACUUUCAGUGGGGAAGAAAGCCUUGGGGCUAAUACCCUCGAGGAAGGACAUCACCCACUGAAGAAGCACCGGCUAACUCCGUGCCAGCAGCCGCGGUAAUACGGAGGGUGCGAGCGUUAAUCGGAAUUACUGGGCGUAAAGCGCGCGUAGGCGGUCUGAUAAGCCGGUUGUGAAAGCCCCGGGCUCAACCUGGGAACGGCAUCCGGAACUGUCAGGCUAGAGUGCAGGAGAGGAAGGUAGAAUUCCCGGUGUAGCGGUGAAAUGCGUAGAGAUCGGGAGGAAUACCAGUGGCGAAGGCGGCCUUCUGGACUGACACUGACGCUGAGGUGCGAAAGCGUGGGUAGCAAACAGGAUUAGAUACCCCGGUAGUC
rnacentral:rRNA from 1 species